rnacentral:rRNA from 1 species
AUUGAACGCUGGCGGCAUGCCUAAUACAUGCAAGUCGAGCGAAUGGAUUAAGAGCUUGCUCUUAUGAAGUUAGCGGCGGACGGGUGAGUAACACGUGGGUAACCUGCCCAUAAGACUGGGAUAACUCCGGGAAACCGGGGCUAAUACCGGAUAACAUUUUGAACCGCAUGGUUCGAAAUUGAAAGGCGGCUUCGGCUGUCACUUAUGGAUGGACCCGCGUCGCAUUAGCUAGUUGGUGAGGUAACGGCUCACCAAGGCAGCGAUGCGUAGCCGACCUGAGAGGGUGAUCGGCCACACUGGGACUGAGACACGGCCCAGACUCCUACGGGAGGCAGCAGUAGGGAAUCUUCCGCAAUGGACGAAAGUCUGACGGAGCAACGCCGCGUGAGUGAUGAAGGCUUUCGGGUCGUAAAACUCCGUUGUUAGGGAAGAACAAGUGCUAGUUGAAUAAGCUGGCACCUUGACGGUACCUAACCAGAAAGCCACGGCUAACUACGUGCCAGCCGCCGCCGUAA